GACCAUGUACGUUUCGUGUGCAUCGAGAAAUUUCUGCAAUAAAAAUGUAUGUUUUCAGUCUUUUUUUGGUUGAAAACUAAACUGCGUAUGAACGAACUUUAAACUCAAUAAGACCCUAUUUGCCCCAGAAGUACAUGCAAUUACCUUUCUAGUGACACCCCACUCUACCCUGUACACGGCUCUAACUGAAGAAGUUUUUGUAAUACCUUUCCUGGCUUCCACUGCAAAAUACGUCCGAUUUCGGUCGUCUGUUUUUCAAACGAAUCUCUCGAAUUGUAACUUCUAUCGAUCACACUUCCGAUAAGUUCUCUUUGUCGUCUGUUUUUCAAACGAAUCCCUCUAAUUGUAACUUCUAUCGAUCACAGUUCUCCAGCACUCCCUCCGUAGUAAUGGCGCCGUGGCUCCUAGUUGACCGAACGGUGCGGUUGAAAAUCGAAAAUGUUUGUAGAAUCGUUCAGGGCUCCGAGCUGAUUAAUAAUAUCCGAAAAUAUGAAAAGUGCAUUCAAAUUUUAUCGAAACUCCAGUCAACCCCACUGGACCCACUGACGUGUCAGCAUUGUACAAAUUAUUCUUUAAGGCGACUAGACAUUUUUUCUUGUGAUAAAAAAAAUAUUUUGCACCAGCACAAUCGUAACGUUUUUGAGUCAACGAUAGUUUAACCAGCGUAUCCUAAAUAUAUCUACAACCGACUUAAAUUUAUAGAGAGAUUUGACGAAAUUUUAUUCAUUUUAUUAAAUGAAAGUGUCGAAAAUAAAAUCUUUGUUUUUUCUUCUGGACUCACCGUUUCAAAAUAAAAUUCCUUGCGCUCAAAUUUACAUAAUUAUCGGAAAAGAUUUUCUUGUAUUCCGCUCUAAAGCUCUCGCGUUUUUACACAGCGAACAAUACACAAAAUCUGCACACGUUCUCUUUAAAACCUUAAUUAUGUGCAAUCUCUGUAUGAAAA